GCGUCUCGCCCCGCGAGCAGAGAGCGUGCACUCUUCUCUUCUUGUAUUCCGCUUCUUGUCGCUGGCGUCGUCGUCGUCGUCGUCGUCGUCGUCGUCGUCGUCGUCGUCGUCACCGUCGUCGUUGUUUUCUUUCUCUUCGUUAACAUGCACGGAAAAAAACUGUAUGCAGGAAAAGUCAUACUCGCGCUCGUCGUGACCGCUUCUCUUCCACAUCGUUUGUAACAUCGCAGCAAUUUGAGGGGUAUGCGAACUUUUCCGAGAUUUCUCUAUUCGCCGAAAUUUGUUGACCUCAUGUAUCGAUCGAUGCCUGCACCAAUUUUUACUGAUAUAAUUUUACCUUUCGAAAUACGAAGAGAAAGAGAGACCCGAAUGAAAGAUUUACAUCUCACGUUAUGCUAAAUCAAUAAUUACCUGCAAUUGUACUCAUUGAGGAGUCCCAUUAAAAAGUUACGAGGGGUAAAAGUAGAAUAGAUUUGGGACGAUAAUGUACAGAAUGCAAGAUUUUCAAUAAUUUCGCGAAGGUGUUUUUCUCGAGUUCAACGUUGCACAAUAGCGCAGGCGGAUGUACAUUCUCCUAGCCUCCAACAUCGACCUUAGGCGGUGCAAUUUGUUCCCCCGCACCAAUCGUCUCUUUCCACAGCACUUUAUUUCCACCCGACAAAGGUCCGAUAAUUAAUCCGGGCAAUACUCUCCUUCCUCUCCUUUUCGCAUACGUGCUAUAGGUCCGUGAACUAAUCCAGGCAGUUGUCUCAUCUCGAUAUCACGCCUGCCUAUUAAUACACAAAGAUCAUUAGCUUCGCGGACGCUUCCGGGUAGUAUGACUACGCAACGGCGCGAGCGAAAGGCUCGAAAGCCACUCGGUGCAUCGUGUGCGAUCGCCCACAAUUAUCGACGACGAUCCGCUGGAAAUGCACACGUCCCACGUGCUCUAAGCAACCAGCCAGUGUUUCAAUAACGCCGACCUCGUCGCCAUUACCCCUGUCUCUUUCCCGUGCACCUCCGUCGCGCUGAAACGCACGCUGUAUCUAGAAGCCGAGCGUACGCGCGCGCGCGCACGUGUAUGCGUGCCUUUGUGUGAUCUGUGUGCGUGCGUGGACACGCGGAGGCCUGGCCCCUCCAGGUCUCGGGCUGUACUCACAUGUGAGAUCCGACGAUCCAGCGAGCCAGGCCUGCUGGCCUGCCAAGGGAAUAUUAUACUUGGCGAUGACGCGUACACGCCACAUGAGGAGGCUAUCUCGCCUCGACGAGAGGCUCGGGUAGGUAGGAGGGAAUAGGGAGAGGGGGACAGCAGGGGGGAGGCUAGGGUGCGCCGCAAGGAUGAGGCAGAAGGUGGAGAAUAUACGGGCGGAGAGCGAGAGCGAGGGGGGCAUACAGGCGCCGAAGGUUUAAUCAGAGGGGACUAUCGACAUCAAUCUUUCCUUUCGCGCGCUUUCCAGCGAAUGUCGGGGUCGUGAAUUGGUGGUGAUCUUGCCAAAGAUCUUUGCAAUCUGUGUUUCUGUACGGAAGAACUUUGCGCAACAAUACGCUUUGGUAAUAUUCCACGAGGUGAGAAUAGCUAUUGAUGCGCGCGGUAGGUUUUUUUUUUUUUUUUUUUUUUAAAUAAAAUAAAGGAGUUAAUCGAAUGAUUGUGACAUUUAUGGAACGAGGCGAUGAAAGGUCUGCUACUAAUGAUGAAAUAAGAGCUCUCAAUUAUCGACGACGAGAAGGUAGUUCGAACGAUGUUCCCGGAAUAGUCGACGGCGAUUGACAAUGUGUAGUCCGAUAUAAGAUCUGCAGAAUCAAAUCCAAUUUCUACAAUACGAGGCGAAUCGAUCGGUAGAACUGGUUUUCAAUUAAAGCUCGAGAAAUUUGUUGAAUCAUCAAUGGUUUUCCCUAGAUAUGUCUCUAGAUACAUGUCGAUAUUGGUUAUAGAGUAGAUUAUUAAAACUUUUGAAUUAUUAAUAAUUUCUUUCCAGAUAUGAUAAUAAUAAAUUCUCUAAAUAAAACAAUAUGAACGGUGGAUGUAAUAUAAAUAUAAUAAUAUAAAUAAAUGUAUAAUAUGCACGUUAAUCUACUUGAAACUUUUUAUUGGAAAAUCAUCGCGAUUAAAGUGUAAUUUAAAAAUGAAAAAAAAAAAGAAAAAAA